ensembl:snoRNA
ACCUCCCACAAAGGCGUGUCUGUGGCUUCCCAUUCAUAGAUACGUAAGAACUGGAGGCAAAGAAAUGAGGGGCUAGGAAAAGUUCAGGACUAGCUUGUCGUACCCUUGCUAGCCCAGGACUUUUCUGUCCUACAUUA